UGGUAAAAAAAAAACAUUUAUAAGAUAAUUUUGAUUCGGUUGCAUUAUUAAACUGGAGUUGUCAUUCCUAUUCUACGUUGGUAAAAUUUGUGCACUAAAUUUUAUAAGAUAAAUACCAUAUCUUAUUCGCUACUUUUAUUCAAAAUUAAAAUAAAACUCUAAUUUAUCAUUGAACGAAAUAUUUACUUUUCUUAUGAGGCGUCCCGAAUGCUUCCGAAAAAUAUAUUAGAUUAGAUUAGAUUAGAUAGAUUAGAUUAGAUUAAAUUAUUAUAUCUUAUCAAUUUUUUUCAUCAAAACCUCAACACGAUUCAAAUCAAAAAGUUAAAAAAAAAAAGAAGAAAAAAACACCAUUUAUCUUUUAUUAAAAUCGAGCCUCGCUGUCUCUCUCCCUCAAGCUUUCAUGGUUACUCACCAGUCAUCACCGAUUAUCCAGUCCUCCGUCACACCAUGGCUCCGACAAUCAACCUGGACUAUCUAGCAUCGGCGAGAGUCGGCGACCUCAUAUCCCCAAAUUAGGUUUUUCAUUCUCCAGUUAUACAAGCUUCUGGGCUUUCUUUUGUCCAUUGAAACUUCUUUUGAGGUAAAAUUUUCUUUCUUCUAAUUAAUCAUCGAAUGUCAAUUUACUUGUUAGUAUAACUAAUUUUGGGUUCUUCCAAGGUAGACUACUAAAAAUAUCUGAUAGUCACUGAAGUCAUGAAAUAUUAUUAUAGUGAGUGCUUUUAUUUUAUUUUAUUUUAUUUUUUGCUAACAUACUCUCUUAAAUAUAAUUAAUUGUUUGACCCACCCUCCUAUUGAGAGUGCGUAGUGAGGCUCCAGCUUAUGAAAGUUCCGAAAUUUUGACGAGUUAACAAGGCUGACGACUAUUGAAGGAAAUUCAAGAGGAAGAAAGUGCUAGCUGCAAACACAGAAGAAACUGUUUGUGUUGAGUCUUGUUUAGCUGUUUAAUCCUAGUUUGUGGACACGAAAAUAGUCUCAUAACACAAAAAAAAAAUAACACUUAGAUCAAGGGUUGCUAGGGAGAGAUUCAACACAAAGAAAAAUCCAAUGGGGAAUGGAUUUGGAUAUGAUGCAGAUGACACAACAACAGAUUAGAAGACGUGUCGACCAACAUCAAGAUAAAGUGGCACAACAAUCUAAGAGGAAGGUAGUCUCUUCAAUAUCUUAAAAUUUCCAAGUGAGAUUAGGCAAGUCCACUGCAUAGAAAAAAUAAUAUCAUAUCACAGUAAGCAAGAGGAGGAGGUUGAGAUUGGGAAUGGUUUCCAAAAUAAGAUAGGGCAGAGUAAUGCAAUGGUGCUGCUGUUACUGCUGUUUUUUUGCUUAUAUUGUUGUCCAUUGCUGUUUGCUGCUGCUACUACUGUCUACUGCUGAUGCUCCUAUUUUCUACUACUACUACUACUGUCUACUGCUACUGCUUCUGCUACUACCGUUAUCUGGUAUUAAUGAAUGCUGUUACUAGUAGCUGUUGUUUUCGCUAGCUAGCUGUUGCCAAGUGCUAUUAUUAGUGUUGUUCUCUGCAUCUGCGCUGACUAGAAAUUGGAGUUCUAGAAGAGAUCGAAGUUCACUACUUUAUAUUUUGAUUAUUUGAUUGUUUAGCCCAAAAAAAAAUAAAAAAAUAAUGGUGUUUAUUUUGUAAGAACUAUGAAAUUAAUUAUUUCAAUUCAAAUUAUAGUCUAUUAUAUAUGUUAA